ensembl:lncRNA
AGAUAAAAUAUCAUUCUUUCUUUUUCACAAAUCUAAAUUUUAUAAUGAAGAAAUGCUAGAGCUGGCUACAAUGACCACCACAAGGGAGAGUGCUGCAGAUGGUGUGAUGGCUGAGUGGAGCUCCGCCCCCUGCAUCGCGGCUGAUGGUGAGCAGACUAUGGAGUGCGAAAAGUGCCAAAAUGAGGAGUAUCUUAUAGACUGGCAAUCUGAACUGGAGGUUGAACUGCCCCCUCUACUCUCUCUGACGUCUCUGCUGGUCCCGCCCAGCCCUCCUUCGUCCUUGGUUUCCUCGUCCAGCCCUGAGGGGGCUCCCAAUUCUCCAGUGCCUGUGCCCGAGUUAAGCCCAGGAUGGGCUCCUGUUCCCGAAUUAAGCCCAGGAUGGGCUAAUGAUCCCCAGUUAAGCCCAGGAUGGGCUCCUGAUGCCCAGUCAAGCCCAGGAUGGGCUCAUGAUCCCCAGUUAAGCCCAGGAUGGGCUCCAGAUCCACAAUUAAGCCCUGUGUCGGCUCCAGCCCCAGAGCUCGCUACAGUGUCGGCUCCAGCCCCAGAGCUCACUCCAGUGUCGGCUCCAGCCCCAGAGCCUGCUCCAGUGUCUGCUCCAGCCCAAGAACUCACUCCAGUGCCUGCUCCGAGAAUGUGUCCUCCAGUGCCAGCUCCUAGAAUGUUCCCUCCUGUGGCCGCUCCUCGAAAAUGCCCGCCCUCCCACCCGCUCCUGCCUCCUCCACCGCUGUCAUCUGGCAGCACCUCUGCUCGCCCUCAGCCCACCAUCAUUGCGGUGCGAGCUCCGCGGGACUACCAUCCUCCAGCAUCGCCGUGCUCUGAGUCUCCCUUACCUCAGCCUCCUGCCUCUGAGACCUGGACUCCGCCUCGGCCUAUUGACCCAUCGGCUCCACCAUGGCUCCUAGCUUCCUCCUCUCCACAAUGGCUCGCCAGUCCACAAGCUCCGCCUGGCUCCCUCGUCCCUCCGGCUCCGCCUUGGUCUGGCAUCGACCAUCCUGCACCUUCGGCCCCGCCCCACUCGUCACAUGUACAUU